AUCCCGAUCCCAAGCACCAUGGAGCCGACGAUUUGGAUCAAGACCUACAUCCCAAGCACCAAGGUGCCUGGUUGAUAUGGAUCGCGAUCCCGAUCCGGAGCUCCAGGGCGCCGAGGAUUUCGAUCACGAUCCCGAUCUGAAGCACCGAGUAGCCGAGGAUAUGGAUCAAGACCCCGGUCCGAAGCGACAAGGAGGCAAGGAUUUGGAUCACCACUCCGAUCAAAGGCACCAAGGCGUCGAGGGAUUGGAUCGAGAUCCCGAUCCCAAUCAUGAUGUUGGCUAUGUAAUUUCCUGUUUUCCACACCGUUCAGGGCAUUUUGGUGGUCGUAUCGGCUUUUAGUUGCUUGCUUGGUGUUAGUGCCAAGGGAGUGGUUGGAAGCUAGGUCGUCCUCUGGAAUGCUUGUUGUAAAGGUGUAUGAGUUGUGUUUGGCUUGUUACGGGUGUUUGUUGGCUGCUUGUGCAGGAACUUUCAUGCGUCCAAGCCUCUUCAGUUGUGCUACAAGGCCUUGUUUGUCUUGUGCAUACGGUGGGUUUCCUGUGUUGCAUACCUAAUCAAGGGCAUCGUAUGGCUUGAUCGAAGUAAAUAUUCGUAAUGCGCCGCUUGCGGCGUUGCACGAACCUCGAAGUGGUCUCUGUGGCCCAUGUUGUUUUUGCUCACGCAUGGAUGGCAUGGCCCUCGGAGCGUCGCUUGGUCUCUUGGAUACGGAACCUGAUGAUGUGGGCGGUAGGGUCUUGGAUGAUUCUACCUUCGC
rnacentral:misc_RNA from 1 species